AGGGCGGACACUCUACCACUAGGCCACUGAGCUGAACAUAUGCAAUCGUUUCCAUAUCUUUCUGUCCUGUCACACCAACCAUCUGCAUGUCCUGCAACAUCUUCAUCUCUGCCACACUCUCCAUUAUUUUGGCCAGUACAGAUUUCCAAGCCUCGCUUCUAACAUUCUUUCCCAUAACUUCAUGCUUUGCUUAAUCAACAUAACAACACCUCUGUAGCUACUACAGUUCUGCACAUUGCCGUGGUCUGAAAUAAAAAAUAGGAGUCAGCACCUUUCCAGGAAUCUUCUCGCUUUUUAAGAAUCUUCCCUGCCAUCUCUCCUUGAUAGUUCCAUGCUGUCACUGGAAUGUCGUCUAGGCCAAUUGCCUUUCCAUUCUCCAUCUUUUACAAAUGUCUGGGUAUGAAUUUUAUCUAUAUUUAUUUUUCUCACUCAUUGGCGGCCCCACAGAGGGACGUAGUGUGCCCACAGAGGGAUCCCUGGUGGUAUCAACGGUUUUGGUGACCUCAGUUAA